GGAAGCUUUGUCCAGCCAUCCAGUCAGCUGCUCCUGGACUCCCAGUAGAAGAGUCAUCAACCUUCCAUCUGACAGGAGUACCCGGAGGAAAGGAGCAUCAUUACCUGCGAAGACCAAGGGGUCCCAAGAAGGGUCUGAACCAAACUCUAGGUUAGAGCCCUGACUUCCUACUCCACUUUUCAUCCAACUCAGCAUAUACAUACACAGGUCUCACGGAUUCCUAAGGUUUUCGUUUUCUUAUGAAGCCUUUUGUGUCGUGUAAAAUUACAUUAAAUACCUUUGUAUGCUUUUGUCCCG
rnacentral:lncRNA from 1 species